rnacentral:rRNA from 1 species
UGAACGCUGGCGGCGUGCCUACUACAUGCAAGUCGAGCGAACAGACGAGGAGCUUGCUCCUCUGACGUUAGCGGCGGACGGGUGAGUAACACGUGGAUAACCUACCUAUAAGACUGGGAUAACUUCUGGAAACCGGAGCUAAUACCGGAUAAUAUAUUUAACCGCAUGGUUUACUAGUGAAAGACGGUUUUGUUGUCACUUAUAGAUGGAUCCGCGCCGCAUUAGCUAGUUGGUAAGGUAACGGCUUACCAAGGCAACGAUGCGUAGCCGACCUGAGAGGGUGAUCGGCCACACUGGAACUGAGACACGGUCCAGACUCCUACGGGAGGCAGCAGUAGGGAAUCUUCCGCAAUGGGCGAAAGCCUGACGGAGCAACGCCGCGUGAGUGAUGAAGGUCUUCGGAUCGUAAAACUCUGUUAUUAGGGAAGAACAAAUGUGUAAGUAACUAUGCACGUCUUGACGGUACCUAAUCAGAAAGCCACGGCUAACUACGUG